rnacentral:sRNA from 1 species
UUUUUUUUUUUUUUUUGUUUUUUUUUUCCAAUAUUAGCAAGAGUUAUUACAACUACAACUAUAACUAUAACUGCAACUAUAACUACAACGAUAAGAACUAUCACUACUCUGAAGACAACGAUGUGUUUUCUCAAGAUGAUAACGGAUCUAGCUUCGCCAUCAAUAAGUAUGAGACAAAGGAGUCCAUCUUUGAUGAAACAUCCAUUUGCCUGUUGUACAUUUUUGCAGGACAACCAGCCUGAGCACAAGAGACAUGGUGUACUAGACUUUGUGCGGAAUGUCUACUUCAAAACUCGCAUCUUUAUAUCUGAUAUAUAGAGAGAGGCUGAUGAUUUAUAAACACAAACGAUAAGACUUGUAACAUGAAGUUUGUCGAAAAAGUCAAUCUUUAAAUUCCUUUCUGAACCUCUCUGUUAUGUCAGUGCUUCGGUAUUAUGCUUUAAUGCAGUCACUUGAGGCGUUGUCCUAAUAGGUGCAAAGUUACCCGNNNUAUUUAGGUUUCAUGUUUGUGAUUACUGGAGAACNACUGUGAAGAGACCAACCGNAUCGCGUUUUUUCCCAAUUGUNGAUCUUUCCCAAUGCUUAAUAAAANNCGAAAUCUUAUUUCGAUUUUACAGGCCUGGGCAUUUCACGAAAAANCAUAGGCGUUUUUUUACAUUUUCUNACAGGGAAAACCCNAUAAAANCAAACUUUGNNNAAUAAUCNUGGGCCAAUCCACCUUUUAAUUUUCCUCCCCAACCUUCUGUUNUCAAAGUCUAAAAANAGGNGGGCAANAAAAAGNGUGNUUUUCCCCCNNAAAUAUUGGAAAGAANUNAACCCCCCCAAACGGGCAUUUAUUGGUUUGUGUAUUGGNCANAAAAAAAAACAUAANAANAACNGGCGNCCCCCNANUUUUUCUAUUUUCCAAANAANNNNAGAGGNUCCCCCGAAGAAAAAUNGNGNAAAANA